rnacentral:rRNA from 1 species
GGUAUGUACUAGCCUGCCGAUUCCUCCUUCUUGUAGAACCGUAAUGCCAUUAAUUUGGUGUUGCGGGGAAACAGGACUGUUACUUUGAAAAAAUUAGAGUCGUUUAAAGCAGGCUAGCGCCUGAAUACAUUAGCAUGGAAUAAUGAAAUAGGACGUUCGAACCUGUUUUGUUGGUUUCUAGGAUUGACGUAAUGAUUAAUAGGGAUAGUUGGGGGCAUUAGUAUUCAAUUGUCAGAGGUGAAAUUCUUGGAUUUAUUGAAGACUGACUACUGCGAAAGCAUUUGCCAAGGAUGUUUUCAUUAAUCAAGAACGAAAGUUAGGGGAUCGAAGACGAUCAGAUACCGUCGUAGUCUUAACCAUAAACUAUGCCGACUAGGGAUCGGAUGAUGUUAAUUUUUUAAUGACUCAUUCGGCGCCUUACG